AUACGGAGGAUGCGAGCGUUAUCCGGAUUUAUUGGGUUUAAAGGGAGCGUAGGUGGGAUAUUAAGUCAGCUGUGAAAGUUUGGGGCUCAACCUUAAAAUUGCAAUUGAUACUGGUUUCCUUGAGUACGGUACAGGUGGGCGGAAUUCGUGGUGUAGCGGUGAAAUCCUUAGAUAUCACGAAGAACUCCGAUCGCGAAGGCAGCUCACCGGGCCGGAACUGACACUGAUGCUCGAAAGUGCGGGUAUCAAACAGGAUUAGAUACCCUGGUAGUCCGCACAGUAAACGAUGAAUACUCGCUGUUUGCGAUACACGGUAAGCGGCCAAGCGAAAGCGUUAAGUAUUCCACCUGGGGAGUACGCCGGCAACGGUGAAACUCAAAGGAAUUGACGGGG
rnacentral:rRNA from 1 species